ACGAGUGACACGGGGUGCCCGCACCGGGCUGAGAGAACACCCGUCGAACCUGAUCUAGUUAGCACUAGCGAAGGGAUGUCGCCGUGAACGACG
rfam:Tersicoccus sp. Bi-70 scaffold11_cov1166_read202, whole genome shotgun sequence.